GCUUACGGCCACACCGGCCUGAGUACGCCUGAUCUCGUUCCGAUCUCGGAAGCUAAGCAGGUCGGGCCUGGUUAGUACUUGGAUGGGAGACCGCCUGGGAAUACCAGGUGCUGUAAGCU
rnacentral:rRNA from 1 species